rnacentral:rRNA from 1 species
GACGAACGCUGGCGGCGUGCUUAACACAUGCAAGUCGAACGGAAAGGCCCUGCUUUUGUGGGGUGCUCGAGUGGCGAACGGGUGAGUAACACGUGAGUAACCUGCCCUUGACUUUGGGAUAACUUCAGGAAACUGGGGCUAAUACCGGAUAGGAGCUCCUGCUGCAUGGUGGGGGUUGGAAAGUUUCGGCGGUUGGGGAUGGACUCGCGGCUUAUCAGCUUGUUGGUGGGGUAGUGGCUUACCAAGGCUUUGACGGGUAGCCGGCCUGAGAGGGUGACCGGCCACAUUGGGACUGAGAUGCGGCCCAGACUCCUACCGGAGGCAGCAGUGGGGAAUAUUGCACAAUGGGCGGGAGCCUGAUGCAGCAACGCCGCGUGGGGGAUGACGGCCUUCGGGUUGUAAACCGCUUUCGCCUGUGACGGAGCGUGAAUGACGGUAAUGGGUAAAGAAGCACCGGCUAACUACGUG